AAUUUAAUUUAAGGUACUUAAGGAGGAAGCUAGUCUGGGGUACAUUUUGUAAGAGCUAGUUUGGAGGACCUUUGUUAUUGUGCUAUUGCAGCUGGAAUGCCGCGGUUUUGGAGUCAUCAAGUUGCAAUUAGAUAAGUAUUAUAUUUUAAAUAUAUAUUUCCCAGUAAUAGCUUGUGUUCCCUUGUUUCAAUAGUUAGAGUCUUUGAAGCUGGAGCUGCGUGCUUGACGUCAGCAGGAUGGAGCCGUCCACUAGCAUCUGCUACUUUGUCUGUCCGGUUUGUUAUUAUUUAUGUGUUCUUGAGUAAUCUUUGUAUCGCAUUCUUAUUUAUUUUCCUUUCAUUACAGGUUAGGAGAGAAUUCGUCGAAGAUACAGAACUGAGGAGAAAUAUGCAAUUUAAGGACAAGUUUUGCACCAUAUUGAAGUGGCAUCUGCGCCACGCAAAUUAUCCUUAUUUAUGCGUUGGCGUCAGGAGAUGUUUUUACUUUGUAGGUGGAGGUACGGAGACAGAAUGAAUUCUGUUCCGCAUCCACAACUUUAUUUUGCCUUUGAUUACAAUAAAUGCAAUAUGUAGGUACAAUAAUUUGAAUUUUUGAGUUUAACAUAGCAUGGGGUGAGUUUGGGGCUUGGACAUAGUUAGUUAGUAUUAAUUUUAAGUUAGUAUUUUGUAGGCAUGGAUUUCAGACAUUGACAUGAUUGGUAACAUUAUCAGCUUGCAUGUUUGUUUACAUUUUUUAAAAUGAAAUUAUUUUGCAAUAAACAUUAAAAUUUUAGACUAACAUUGUUUUAUUUAUUUCUUUUCAGGUACCCCCAUCAGAAGGACAGGAGCACCGAGUCGCAGAGAGCCUCAGGAGUCAUCACAGGUAAGUUUUGUUGCAUUUUGGCAGUGGACUGUUGCGGCCGCUGGAAAUGGGCCACUUGCAACAAUUUUGUCCGGCCGGCGAUUGCAAGUUAUUUGUUCUUGGUUUCAGCAUCCCUCGCUGCCGUCAUUUGAUAAGAUUGCCGUUCAUCAGGUAGAGGAGAUGCAGUGAGUUGCCCACGCAGCUGUCAUUGCAUUUUUUGAGAGCUGCUGUCUAUAUGGUGGUGGAGUCGUCUCGUGGCAAAGAAGUCGUCAGAGAGGAUUGUGGCUCGGUCUGUCACCGAAGGAAGCCAGGUGCGCCGCGUCUUGUGGCCAUAGCGUCAGGAUUGGCAGCUUGGAGCCGCCGUUUUGAGAUUUGUUGCAGAGAGCCGCCGCAACGGAAUAGCCAUGGAAAUGGAUGCAAAAAUAAUUUGUUUCAGGUACAUUGAGUGGAAU